rnacentral:rRNA from 1 species
CACGUAGGGGGCAAGCGUUGUCCGGAUUUAUUGGGCGUAAAGAGCUCGUAGGCGGCUCAGUAAGUCGGGUGUGAAACCUCCAGGCUCAACCUGGAGACGCCACCCGAUACUGCUGUGGCUUGAGUCCGGUAGGGGAGCGUGGAAUUCCUGGUGUAGCGGUGAAAUGCGCAGAUAUCAGGAGGAACACCAGUGGCGAAGGCGGCUCACUGGUCCGGUUCUGACGCUGAGGCGCGAAAGCGUGGGGAGCAAACAGG